UUCCUGAAAGGAAGGAAAUGAGCCGCGCUGGCUAAUAAAAUAAAUAACAGGCCUGACAGUCUGCAAAGUUUUGCGGCUGCUGCGUCUGUGAGUUGCAGGGACAACAGGGCAAUCGAAUGAGCUGCAGAUUUCUCUUCCUUAAUUGAUCUAUAAUUGAUGAAUGGAUUUUCUUGUGCGGCUGAAGAGUGUCUAAAAACUAUUAAAGAGAUGAAAUGUGAAAUAGCAUCUUGUGAUGGGGUAUACAAACACCAUGCUGGAUGACAAGGGGUUAAUUAAGGUGCUGCUUUGGGCUCAGACAACUCUGCCCCGCCACAACUGCAAGGUAUGCACAGGCUGGAGGAGGAGUUCAAAAGGCAAAGCAGACCAAAUCACUUGUUGGCAGACUAGGGAUGAGGAAAGACCUUCAGACCCUGAAGAAAGGGUUGACUGAAGGCAGGAGCUUCCCAGACAAUCAUUGUCUAAAGGACCCACCCUGAGGGAAAGGAGGGCCAGAUCCUGAUGCACCUGAAAGGGAAUCAUUCUCCUCUAUCUCUUACUAAGUCAGUUCAUUUGCAAUGAUUUGCCUUGUGUUUUGUUCAUGGACUACCCUGGAAGGGGACAGAUUUUAAAGUGAGCUGGCUAGAGGAUCAAGUCACAGGAAAAGGUGGGCCACUGCAGAGGUGAAUCAGCCAUUGGCAAGAGAGAGCUACUGAGAGGUGAAACAGCCAUUGGCAAGAGAGAGCCACGGUGAGAGAGCUACUAUGCCAGGCCUGGCCACAAAGAGGUGCCAGAGCUUUUCAAGCCUUUCAAGAAGACUGCUAAUAUGUCCCUCCUGAAUCUCCUCUUUUCCAUACUAAACAUACCCAGUCCCUUCAGCCUUUGCUCAUAUGGCGUGCAUUCCAUCCUUUUGAUCAUCAUUGUCAAUGUAUGGAUAAAGAAGAAGCACGGGCUAGAGGCAGGGCAGUUCAACCCUUGGCCUCUCUGCUGAAACCGACAAAAAGCCAAAUACAACGGUACCAUCAUAAUCCGUGUAAUGAAGAUUUUCAAAUACACACACAUUGCUGUGCAAAACACAAAAGAGAAAGCAUACAGUACGUUACUACUGAAAAAACAUCAAAAAGUCAAAAUAACUUGGAUGCCAUACAUCUUACACCCACAUGAUGAUUGUGAAAGCUCACCAGAACAGGUUGAUUGGAAGAGCUCACACUUUACCAGCCUUAAGACAUAUUCAAGUUUGUCUUUAUGGAAUACGCAAAGAGAAUGGACUGCUAAAAUUUCUCUUUAAAGUUUUCUCAUCUAAGGCACCUCUUAUUUCCAGGAAAUUCUUCUAAACAAUCCAGAAUUUUACCAGAUUGGAAUCCAUUCAUUAUAUCUGUUUCUUUUUCAACCAUUUCCAUGGAAGUUCAUUUACUGAAAAAAGUCUACUAUCUAAUUAGAUGUAAAGUCAAUGUAUGCACAUGGAGAAACACUGAAAACUCCUUAGAUCUGUUAUAUCUGGAUCAAAAUUUUGCAACAGACAGUUGUUUUUACAGCAAUGAUUAUGGAUAAUGUAACCCCCUUUACUUUUUUAUUGCAUGGUAUUCAGCCCACCCCCUCCGCCAAAAAAAACCUCUCCAAAACAUUUAUUGCUCUAAUUAUCGCUGUUGUUUCUACUUGCUCUGAGUUGAUAUGGAAACAUUCUCAGACAAGAUGGCUGUAUAGAGCCGUGAGUUACUGCAAAGAAAUAGCUGCUAUUUCCAAACACCAGGGGGCAGUGCAAGAAGUUGUUAACCAUACUCAGUAGCUGUUUUGAAGCAGGUGUGGAAGGCUUCAUUGAGGGUGGACUUUCCUGCAUGUGCACACGCACCCUUACUUAGACUCUGGAAGCUCCUGCACAAUCAGUAGUGAGUUCUGUCAGGGGUACAAAACUGGCAGUCAUGUUGAGCGCCAGUCAGAUCCAGCCCAACCCUUCAACGGCAAGACAGAGCUGUCAGGUUAACCCAAACUAAAUCUGUGGAUUGGAUCUCAAUGCAGUUUCCUAUAAAUUUACAGAAGUCAGUGGGAUUGAAACUGGAAAAAUUCCAUACAGGAGGAAUUACAGACUGGAGGCCAUGUUCCUAACAUCAUUGAUCCAAGUAGCUAUAGUAAUUGUCAGUUUUUUCCCCUCACUGGAAGUUGUAUAUGUGCUCAGUAGUGUGAAUUUGGGGAAAAAAACAAAACAAAAAACAUAGGUAUGUGGUAGAACUAAAUGUUUUAUUUAACUGUCAAUAUCAUACCAAGGGUAAGUCAGGAUGAAAGCAGAAAAUCUCCCAAACACUGUAUUUAUUUUGUAAAGUAUUAUAUAUAAGGGUUUGGGUCCUGUGGUACAUUUUUCAUUUUAAAGGAAAAUAACAAAUCUCUAGCUAGUUAUGUUAGCCUAGUAGGGGGCAUUGUAUCUGUUAUACUGUAAUGACUUCUAUUUGAAUUGUUAUUCAUUAAAAGGUACUUGAAACUAUUAAUUUUGUGGGCAAUGAAGUUCAGAACAUUACAAACUUUCAUAAAACAUUGCUCAAUAUUCUUUUAUAGUACAAUAUAUUAUACAAUCAGUUGGUUUAACAGCUGAUUUUUAGGGUUUAAAAAUCCUGUUACCUCAUUGGGGUGCCUGGACCUUGAUUGUCACAGCCACCAAUGCCUGAGGCCCCAGCCAUGGCAUGGAACAUAUUAGGUGAGAUAUGGCUAGAUGAUCAUAGAAUCAUAGAAUAUCAGGGUUGAAAGGGACCUCAGGAGGUCAUCUAGUCCAACCCCCUGCUCAAAGCAGGGCCAAUCCCCAAUUUUUGCCCCAGAUCCCUAAAGAGCCCCCUCAAGGAUUGACUUCACAACCCUGGGUUUAGCAGGCCAAUGCUCAAACCACUGAGCUAUCCCUCCCCCAUCUUAGUAAGUGAACCAGUCCCAUGCUGCAGAGCAAGGCACAAAAACAAAAAUCCAAGGCCCAGACCAACAGGAGGACUGAGGUUUUUAGUUCCCACUUUAGCCACCUAAAUUCAAAAGUAAGGCACACCGAGAUCGUCAAAACUACUGCUAAACAGAUGCCUGACCCUGGAGGUGCCCAAAAUUCCUUUACAUGUACACUUCCACCCUAAAAGUCCCCCAAGCAGAAACUUAGAUGUUUAACUGUAGGUACCCAGUCACCUACAUGAAUUUAUCCAGCAAUGUGGGGGAAAUUUUAUUUUUACCUCUAUCUCCUCUUACACCAUCUUAGAUUCCCUUAACAACAACCAGGAAUCCAUGUUUGGCACCCUUCUUUCCCAUCCCCUGUUAUCUUUGGCGCCCUUUUUGUCCAAAGGCGGGAAACCGGCAGGUCACCUAAUUGGGAGUCUGCCCAGCAACUGGGACUGUAUGUAAGACCUGCUUUCUAGUCAGACAACUGGAGAGCAGUUUAUCUGGGAGGUAGCAUUUAUCUGGGAGGUAGCAAGUGCUGCUGAGUGCUGCUGCUCACCUUGGAGGGUAUGCAUAGGACCACACUCAAGGGUUGUCAGGAGAGUACAUACCUGCAUACAAGAGCGAGCUGUCAUCUGUCUCUCUGAUCCUUCUCACACAUCCACUCAUGAUGACGCAAGGAAGAAGAGCAAAUAUUCAAACAAGAACUGAGCAUCCAUCAGCCUGUGCCUGGAGGGUUCUGUUUUCCUGCCUACUGAGUCAUCAGGACCUGGAACCGGAGCUAGUCCUGUCUUGACGGUGCCAUUGGACGAAGCUGCAGGAUAUGGUAUAGAACCAACACCGCUCUUCUACCUAGUCUAAUCUGGGGGUAGCCUUGGGUUAAGGCUUUGAGCCCUCCUCUGUUAUAGCCCGUGCCCCUUUUGUAUUUGGUCCCCUGUUUGGUUGUAUUUUGGGAAUCCUUGUGUUUUGUUUAAUACUUUACUUUGUUAUACUUACCUGAGUUCACCUUUACCUUGUUAAAUGUUGUCUGAGA